UCCAGCUUCAGGCACUUGCUUGGUUGCCUUGUACCUAGGCAAGUGUUACAAUGCUGGGAGGACAGCAGCUGACAGCUGGCAGGCAUUCUGGGCCUGAUUCCUGCCAGU
rnacentral:snoRNA from 1 species